rfam:Echinostoma caproni strain Egypt genome assembly, scaffold: ECPE_scaffold0005543
GCACUGCUGACGAGUCCCAAACAGGAUGAAACAGCAGUCCAGUGC